AAAUGUAAAUACAAACAUUUAAGCUUAUUGCCACUGCCAGGGUAUUUAAGUUAUCCUGUUUGUUAUGGAAAAUAAAUAUAAUCUACAUACAAAUCUCUGAGCCACAAUCAUAACAUCUGAACAGGCAAUUUCUGAGGUAACAGCAGAAACAUUUUUUUUUAUCAGGGAUCUUAUGUUUAAAAAACUUAUAUUAUAGGUAGUGGGCUGUUUUAGGGAAUUUUUGAUCAAAUUAUCCGUAGUAGCAAUAUUAAUAAUGUUGUGUUUAUUCUGCGUAGUGGACUUAAAAUAAUUAUGACCAUAUCUGUUUGCUUGGUGCUUUGAUAAACUGAACACAUAUACAUGGUACUAUAUUGUGAUGUUAUGAGCCAGGGGAAAAAAGAACUACCCUACCCAGCAUGCAACAGGAGUGACGAGCAUGCGCGGUAGCCCGGUAUAGGUUGUGUCGCCAUGACGGCAUCUUGUAUGUUGUGAUAUGCACGCUCUGAAAGCAAACGUUAAGAACUCAGCCAACACUCCUGGUCUGCAUUAUUCAUAAAUAGACAGACAACACAUAUACUCCGCUGCUUCACAAAGCACAAUAUGUUAAAUGUUUACUUUUACAGUUUUCUAAUUCUUCCUUUCAGAUUGACAGCAGGACAAAUCGCUGGAAGUGGGUAUGUCUCAAGCUUCUUCCACUUGGUCCACUCCAAAGCGGGCUGCAAAGGGGAAGAAGUGGAAGCAGUUGAAUGACACAUGUUGCAUUUUGUAACUGGCAACAAAGUACCAGGUAAAAAAGAUUGUGAAGCCUGCCUCCAUAAAGAACUAGUAGCUCUACAGGACAGAGAUUGGCUUGCCAUCAAGUACUACAUCCAUAACAGAAUUAUAUUAAAAAAAGGGAAAAAAAAUGUUUUCCCACAUCUUCUGUGGUAGUUUGAGUAUGUUACCAGCAAUUAAAAAAGCAAAAUAAACAGCAA